ACCCUCCAGAUUCCUUACUCAUCAGACCUCAACAUUGGUCUGAGUGGUUAUCAAAGGAGGACAUGGAAAACUGAAAUGGACGUAAGAAUUAUUUUGUGACACACAGCUCGUUUCAAAUGACA
rnacentral:snoRNA from 1 species